GCCUGGCAUGAUGACACAUGCCUGUAAUCCCAGAAACUUGGGAGGCUGAGGCAGGAGGAUUGCAAGUUCAAGGCCAGCAACUUAGCGAGGCCCUGUCUCAA
rnacentral:sRNA from 1 species